rnacentral:rRNA from 1 species
UACGUAGGGGGCAAGCGUUGUCCGGAUUUAUUGGGCGUAAAGAGCGUGUAGGCGGCCAGGUAGGUCUGCUGUGAAAACUCGAGGCUCAACCUCGAGAUGUCGGCGGAAACCAUCUGGCUAGAGUCCGGAAGAGGAGAAUGGAAUUCCCGGUGUAGCGGUGAAAUGCGCAGAUAUCGGGAAGAACACCCGUGGCGAAGGCGGUUCUCUGGGACGGUACUGACGCUGAGGCGCGAAAGCGUGGGGAGCGAACAGG